UGCAUCGGCCGGGAAUCGAACCCGGGGCGUGGCAGGCGAGCAUUCUACCACUGAACCAAAAGC
rnacentral:tRNA from 1 species